rnacentral:lncRNA from 1 species
UCACGCACGGACGGCCCAGAUUGCAUCGCGAUGAACGGCCAUAUUCAUUUCUUAUUUAAUCGCGAUCGGACAGCCCAGAUUAAAUCGCGAUGGAUGGCUCAGAUUAAAAGUGGAAUGUUAUAAAUAAUCUCAUCCACACCAAAACCCUAACCUUAGCCUCCAAAGCCCUCGCCGGAGAAGACAGCCCAGCCACCGGAGAACCGACCGCCGUCACCCGCCGCCGCACCAGAGCACCUUCUCGCCGCCAAACGAGGUAAAAAUUCUCCCAUUGGCUCGAAAUUCGAUUCUAAACCCACCUGUGGCCAAAUCGG